rnacentral:rRNA from 1 species
AGAGUUUGAUCCUGGCUCAGGAUGAACGCUAGCUACAGGCUUAACACAUGCAAGUCGAGGGGCAGCAUGGCAGAAGCUUGCUUCUGCUGAUGGCGACCGGCGCACGGGUGCGUAACGCGUAUCUAACCUACCCCUGGCUCUGGGAUAGCCCAUCGAAAGAUGGAUUAAUACCGGAUGGUUUCCUUUGGCGACAUCGCCGUUGGAAUAAAGAUUUAUCGGCCUGGGAUGGAGAUGCGACUGAUUAGGCAGUUGGCGGGGUAACGGCCCACCAAACCUACGAUCAGUAGGGGUUCUGAGAGGAAGGUCCCCCACAUUGGAACUGAGACACGGUCCAAACUCCUACGGGAGGCAGCAGUGAGGAAUAUUGGUCAAUGGGCGCGAGCCUGAACCAGCCAAGUAGCGUGAAGGAUGACGGCCCUAUGGGUUGUAAACUUCUUUUGUUUGGGAAUAAAGUGGGGCACGCGCUGCCCCUUUGUAUGUACCUUACGAAUAAGCAUCGGCUAAUUCCGUGCCAGCAGCCGCGGUAAUACGGAAGAUGCGAGCGUUAUCCGGAUUUAUUGGGUUUAAAGGGAGCGUAGGCGGACUGUUAAGUCAGCGGUGAAAUGUCAGGGCCCAACCCUGGCUUGCCGUUGAUACUGUCGGUCUUGAAUGCACCCAAGGGUGGUGGAAUUCGUGGCGUAGCGGUGAAAUGCAUAGAUAUCACGCAGAACUCCGAUUGCGAAGGCAGCGCGCCGGCGCCCGACUGACGCUGAGGCACGAAAGCGUGGGGAUCGAACAGGAUUAGAUACCCUGGUAGUCCACGCAGUAAACGAUGAGCAUUAGCUGUCCGGGGCGAUUGUGUCCUGGGCGGCACAGCGAAAGCGUUAAAUGCUCCACCUGGGGAGUACGCCGGCAACGGUGAAACUCAAAGGAAUUGACGGGGGCCCGCACAAGCGGAGGAACAUGUGGUUUAAUUCGAUGAUACGCGAGGAACCUUACCCGGGCUCAAACGGCGGAGGAAAGUUUUUGAAAGGAGGCUGCCAGCGAUGGCCUCCGCCGAGGUGCUGCAUGGUUGUCGUCAGCUCGUGCCGUGAGGUGUCGGCUUAAGUGCCAUAACGAGCGCAACCCCCACCGCCAGUUGCCAGCAGGUAAAGCUGGGGACUCUGGCGGGACUGCCGGCGCAAGCUGCGAGGAAGGCGGGGAUGACGUCAAAUCAGCACGGCCCUUACGUCCGGGGCGACACACGUGUUACAAUGGCGGGCACAGCGGGGCGCCACCCGGCGACGGGGCGCCGAACCCGAAAGCCCGCCUCAGUUCGGAUCGGAGUCUGCAACCCGACUCCGUGAAGCUGGAUUCGCUAGUAAUCGCGCAUCAGCCAUGGCGCGGUGAAUACGUUCCCGGGCCUUGCACUCACCGCCCGUCA